AGCGAACGCUGGCGGCAGGCUUAACACAUGCAAGUCGAACGCCCCGCAAGGGGAGUGGCAGACGGGUGAGUAACACGUGGGAACGUACCCUUUGGUUAGGAAUAACUUGGGGAAACUCAAGCUAAUACCGGACAAGCCCUUAUGGGGAAAGGUUUACUGCCGAAGGAUCGGCCCGCGUCUGAUUAGCUAGUUGGUGAGGUAAUGGCUCACCAAGGCGACGAUCAGUAGCUGGUCUGAGAGGAUGAUCAGCCACACUGGGGCUGAGACACGGCCCAGACUCCUACGGGAGGCAGCAGUGGGGAAUAUUGGACAAUGGGGGCAACCCUGAUCCAGCCAUGCCGCGUGAGUGAUGAAGGCCUUAGGGUUGUAAAGCUCUUUUACCCGGGACGAUAAUGACUGUACCGGGAGAAUAAGCCCCGGCUAACUUCGUGCCAGCAGCCGCAGUAA
rnacentral:rRNA from 1 species